rnacentral:rRNA from 1 species
UUCUUUAAUGUCUUGAAAUUAAUUUUUUUGUUGGUAUAGAAGCAGAAAAUAAGGCAUUCGUAGGACGAGAAGACCCUAUCGAGCUUAAAUAUAAAUUUGGCUUAGGUACGUAUAGUAUUUUCUUGCUAAUAGGUCUUUUUAAGACAGGUACUUUUACUUGUUAAGGUACGGGUACUGUAGGCUUGUAUUUUGGUUGGGGCAAUCGCGGAGAAAAAAGAUCCUCCGUUUAUAGUUAAGUAAAAGGUACUUCUUUGAAAUAUAAUAAUUUAUAAUAGCAUGAUCCACUUGUAAAAAGUGAACAAAGGAAUAAGUUACCGUAGGGAUAACAGCGUAAUUUUUUUAGAGAGUUCAUAUUGAUAAAAAAGUUUGCGACCUCGAUGUUGGAUCGAGACUUCCAGGAGAUGCAGCAGUUUCCAAAGGUUGGUCUGUUCGACCA